AUACGUAGGGGGCAAGCGUUAUCCGGAUUUACUGGGUGUAAAGGGAGCGUAGACGGAAGGCCAAGUCUGAUGUGAAAGCCCGCGGCUCAACUGCGGGACUGCAUUGGAAACUGGUCAUCUGGAGUGCAGGAGGGGUAAGCGGAAUUCCUAGUGUAGCGGUGAAAUGCGUAGAUAUUAGGAGGAACACCGGUGGCGAAGGCGGCUUACUGGACUGUAACUGGCGUUGAGGCUCGAAAGCGUGGGGAGCAAACAGGAUUAGAUACCCUGGUAGUCUACACUGUAAACGAUGAAUGCUAGGUGUAAGAGGUAUCGACCCCUUUUGUGCCGGAGUCAACACAAUAAGCAUUCCGCCUGGGGAGUACGGCCGCAAGGCUGAAACUCAAAUGAAUUGACGGGG
rnacentral:rRNA from 1 species